GGUGGAUCACUUGUUCAAUGCACAUUAAAUGUGCAUCAGUUUGCAUCAAAUGCAUUUUUUGGACAUUCACAUCAACUUAGCCCUGACCUGUUGUUGCCAUAUAGCAACGCGCCAUUGUUUGUUUUAAAAGUUAUGAAGUAGUUGGUUCAAACUGGAAAUAUAUAAAAUUUGAAAUAGGAGCCUGACUGACGGUGCUCAGGGGUCUUUAAGCUAUUGGGCGUCUGAUUUUUGAGGACAUCAUACAUUUAUUCAAGGAAGAUCCCUGCGUACAACAUGGAGAAGAUAAACAUUGCUUAUCAGGAUUACAUUGUCCUACGUUCCCAUAAAAACAGUGCGCUUCAAAAUCUGGAUUAAUUGUAACAUUCUUCUCGAUCAACCAACAGUGUACGCUUUACUGGUGGCGAGUAUAAAUCCACAUCGAAUUUUCCAAUCCAAGUCUAGAUGGAAAUAUUCAAAAAUUACCCUCAACAAGGGUCUCGGAGUUCCGGAACAACUGUGUUUAAUUGUUUAAGUGUGGUUUAGUAAAUGAAUCAUUAUAAUAAAAAGGUUCGAGUCUUCGUCAAUUCAAUUUA